AGAAUCAACGCUGGCGGCGUGCCUAACACAUGCAAGUCGCACGAGAAAGGGUAGCAAUACCUGAGUAAAGUGGCGCACGGGUGAGUAACACGUGAAUGAUCUACCUCCGAGUGGGGAAUAACUGAGAGAAAUCUUAGCUAAUACCGCAUAACACUUACGAGUCGAAGCAGCAAUGCGCUUGGAGAGGAGUUCGCGGCCGAUUAGUUAGUUGGCGGGGUAAUGGCCCACCAAGACGAUGAUCGGUA
rnacentral:rRNA from 1 species